UUGGCCCUGAAUCAAGGCCAGCAGAUUACUGAAGCUGUUGGUUUCAAGCAGGAACCUAAAGAAAUGUCCUUCUAUGGUCUGUUGGCCGUUUCAGAAAUUUGUACAUCUAAUGGUCAUUAGAAAGAAACAUCU